GCACCCUAAAAUCUACUGCCCCGUUCCCAAAAAUCCCAGAAACGGAUAUCAAACCCAAACCAAAAUAGUGAACCGGAAACGAAGCCAACAUAAGAAAAAUCCGACGCACUCGAACUCAACAGCACUCGAACCCAAUUUCAGUGACUCGAACCACGACCAAAAAACUACUCGUUGGCUGAAGCUCAGGUCAUGGGUGAGAGGGGUUAAGGUUUUCACUGGUUUUGUAGACGGCAGCAGAAGAUGACUGCUUGGGGAUCUGUAUUUUUUUUU
rnacentral:lncRNA from 1 species